AACGAACGCUGGCGGCAUGCCUAACACAUGCAAGUCGAACGAGACCUUCGGGUCUAGUGGCGCACGGGUGCGUAACGCGUGGGAAUCUGCCCUUGGGUUCGGAACAACAGUUGGAAACGACUGCUAAUACCGGAUGAUGACUUCGGUCCAAAGAUUUAUCGCCCAAGGAUGAGCCCGCGUAGGAUUAGCUUGUUGGUGAGGUAAAAGCUCACCAAGGCGACGAUCCUUAGCUGGUCUGAGAGGAUGAUCAGCCACACUGGGACUGAGACACGGCCCAGACUCCUACGGGAGGCAGCAGUGGGGAAUAUUGGACAAUGGGCGAAAGCCUGAUCCAGCAAUGCCGCGUGAGUGAUGAAGGCCUUAGGGUUGUAAAGCUCUUUUACCCGGGAUGAUAAUGACAGUACCGGGAGAAUAAGCCCCGGCUAACUCCGUGCCAGCCGCCGCAGUAAUAC
rnacentral:rRNA from 1 species